rnacentral:rRNA from 2 species
UACGUAGGGGGCAAGCGUUGUCCGGAAUCAUUGGGCGUAAAGCGCGCGUAGGCGGUCCGGUAAGUCCGCUGUGAAAGUCAAAGGCUCAACCUUUGAAUGCCGGUGGAUACUGUCGGACUCGAGUCCGGAAGAGGCGAGUGGAAUUCCUGGUGUAGCGGUGGAAUGCGCAGAUAUCAGGAGGAACACCAAUAGCGAAGGCAGCUCGCUGGGACGGUACUGACGCUAAGGCGCGAAAGCGUGGGGAGCGAACAGG